rnacentral:rRNA from 1 species
AUUGAACGCUGGCGGCAGGCCUAACACAUGCAAGUCGAACGAGUGGCGGACGGGUGAGUAAUGUCUGGGAAACUGCCUGAUGGAGGGGGAUAACUACUGGAAAAGGUAGCUAAUACCGCAUACCAUCGGAUGUGCCCAGAUGGGAGUAGCUAGUAGGUGGGGUAACGGCUCACCUAGGCGACGCUCCCUAGCUGGUCUGAGAGGAUGACCAGCCACACUGGGACUGAGACACGGUCCAGACUCCUACGGGAGGCAGCAGUGGGGAAUAUUGGACAAUGGGCGCAAGCCUGAUGCAGCCAUGCCGCGUGUAUGAAGAAGGCCUUCGGGUUGUAAAGUACUUUCGGCAGGGAGGCGUUACCCGCAGAAGAAGCACCGGCUAACUCCGUGCCAGCCGCCGCGGUAAUUC